AGGUCCACCCGAGACAGGUUUUGUUUUAUAAUUGGACCCAGUAGGUGGCGCUGUUGACAAGUUAUAUGCAAAUUCCGUAUUUGGGGUCGAAUGACUGAACAGAUUUUUGUGAAAUUUUGUGUGUGCGAUAAGGUCCAUCCGAGACAGGUUUUGUGUUAUAAUUGGACCCGGUAGGUGGCGCUGUUGUCAAUUUAUAUGCAAAUUCCGUAUUUGGGGUCGAAUGACUGAACAGAUUUUUGUGAAACUUUGUGUAUGCGAUAAGGUCUAUCCGAUACAGGUUUUGCGUUAUAAUUGGACCCGGUAGGUGGCGCUGUUGUCAAGUUAUGUAUAUGCAAAUUCCAUAUUUGGGGUCGAAAGACUGAAUAGAUUUUUGUGAAAUUUUGUGUGUGCGAUAAGGUCCAUCUGAGACAGGUAUUGUGUUAUAAUAGGACCCGGUAGGUGGCGCUGUUGUCAAUUUAUAUGCAAAUUCCGUAUUUGGGGUCGAAUGACUGAACAGAUUUUUGUGAAAUUUUGUGUAUGCGAUAAGGUCUAUCCGAGACAGGUUUUGUGUUAUAAUUGGACCCAGUAGGUGGCGCUGUUGACAAGUUAUAUGCAAGUUCCGUAUUUGGGGUCGAAUGACUGAACAGAUUUUUGUGAAAUUUUGUGUGUGCGAUAAGGUCCAUCCGAGACAGGUUUUGUGUUAUAAUUGGACCCGGUAGGUGGCGCUGUUGUCAAUUUAUAUGCAAAUUCCGUAUUUGGGGUCGAAUGACUGAACAGAUUUUUGUGAAAUUUUGUGUAUGCGAUAAGGUCUAUCCGAGACAGGUUUUGUGUUAUAAUUGGACCCGGUAGGUGGCGCUGUUGUCAAGUUAUGUAUAUGCAAAUUCCAUAUUUGGGGUCGAAAGACUGAAUAGAUUUUUGUGAAAUUUUGUGUGUGCGAUAAGGUCCAGCUGAGACUGGUAUUGUGUUAUAAUUGGACCCGGUAGGUGGCGCUUUUGUCAAGUUUAAUUCAAAAUCCGUAUUUGGGGUCGAAUGGCUGGAUAUUUUUUGUGAAAUUUUGUGUGUGUGAUAAGGUUUGCCCCAGACAGGUUUUGUGUUAUAAUUGGACCCUGUAGGUUGCGCUGUAGUCAAUUUAUUUGUGCUCCACAUAUCAACCGAACCGAGUGAACCGGAAAAAGUUUAACACAUUACAGGGCUAAAAUUUGAAAACAAAUACUUGGAAAGGCGGAACGAAGUCCGCCGGGUCAGCUAAUUAAUGGCGUGCAUAUCCAUACCAUUACGCGUGGUUGCCUUUUAGUGAAGAAACCAAACAACUUGUCCUUCCUUCGUUAUCCGAUAUGAAUUUUGUAGAGGAACUGUGCAAUGUAUUAGUUUAAGCAAGACAAAGGAUUCGAUAGAAAAUUGUAUUAACGUCAAAUGUCUGUGAUGCGGGGAAAAAUUUUAAAUUUAACUCAAGCCUCAAGGACGGUAAAUCUCCCGUUCAACUAGUCCAAAUGCCAGCAGUGGUCAUUGAAAAAAGUGAACCGAAAAGCAGAUUAACCUCGUUUACCCAGCGCUUCCAAUAAAAAAGCCCAUUUUUUUCAUGGUGCUAACGAGAAGGCCAAGUCAAGUAAUGAUACGUUUAAAUUUUUUGUUUUGUAAAUAUA